rnacentral:tRNA from 1 species
GCCUUCGUGGUGUAGUGGUCAGCAUGCUCGACGCGUAACCGAGAGGUCCGUGGUUCGAUUCCCGGCAAAGGCU